AUUUGACACAAUCUCCAAUGGAUUAUUUUUUUUAUAAUUCAAUAAAAUUAUUAAAUUAAGUUUUUUUUUACUUUGGGAAAAACAUUUAAAAACUAUUUUUAGAAAUGGCAUUCUUCCUUUGUAUUUACAUAGGCUUUACAGAGGAGAAGAAAAGAAUCAAAGGAUCAAAUUAUCAAGGAAAUUACCAUAAUUUGUCACUCACAGCAACAUAUCACGUGCAUACUAAGUAGUAUUUUGAAAGCACCUUUUGGGAUAUGGAUUUUAAAUGAAGCUGGUUUCUUGGUCAGAAUGCAGCUGUUCACAUUCUGUGAGUAUAAAUUGAGCAACUUCCCUGCAACAACAAUGUGGUUACAGUUUAAGACAGUGGCCUGAGAAUUAUUAAUUCCUGUGGUACAUGCUAAUCAUAUAUUUCACAAGAACCUCUGGCAUUGCUAUGGCUGUCCUUAACACGGGUAUGGAAAUUCCACACCAAUCCUCUGUGGCUGCAGAGGCAAACUGUCUGAGAACAAGCAUGUAUCAGGUGUGCCAAUGGCUUAUACAAGAGAAACCUCUGUGGUUUUAUUAAAGGAAGAAAAACUUGUGAUCGGAAGGUGCUUUCCUAAGUCCAGAAUAUAAAUAUUUGAAUAAAGAUACAGACAAAUACAAGGACCCGGAGAUGGUUACGGAAUUUAGGAUGGCAUCAGGAUAUAUGUGCACAGGAUGUGUGUACAUGCAGGGUUUUCAUUAGGAACUUCGUGGGCUUUGGGAGCAAAAGAGCCUCUCCUCUCAGGCAUGUGUACAAACAGAAGCCACAGUGUGACUCUUGAGUCCUGGAAUGGGAGUAGAGCAGUGGGGGAGGGGCAAAGGUGGUUACAGAUGCAUCUUUAGGGAAAAGAGAGAAGGUCAAAACUGACUCCGGGAAGGUGGUGGUUUGCUUAUGGUAAACGAACAGUGAUGAGAUUCAUCGGUUGUUUCCACACCAAAUGACAUGUUUCUGAGCAGGCCGAUACAUUUUGCCAAACACGGGAGUAAAAUUCUCUGACGCCCAUAAGAGACUGGUGUUACUACAAGAGUCAGGGGCAGAGUGCUCUUAAGCAGCCACUAUACUGCUUGAGACUUUGCUGUUUAUCAGCUCACCUUAAGCACUCCUUAUAUAUUACGUCAUUUAAUCAUGGCAACACACCUAAGACACAGGUAUUAUGUUUAACUCUUGUUUUAUCGACAGGAAACUGAGUCACAGAAAGGCUGCUCAGUUAGAGAUGACGAGGGAAAUAUUCUCUGAUCCUAACUUUCUAACUCUUAGGACAACCUGUCUCUGAACACCUCCAAAAGGAGGGAGGAAAAAGGCAGUCUCCAAAGGGCUCCACUCAAAGCAGACUGCUUGAUGGUACCCAGGAAAGAGCCCCCACAAAGCGACGGGCAUCCCCUACACAAGCACAAGGAUGAAGCCGACUGGGAAAGUAUUGCUUUCCAGCAAUGCUUAUGUUGAAAAAAAAAUCCAUACAGAGAAGAUUGUCCAAAAACAACGCCUGUAAGUGCUUUGUUACGAACUAAAUGCAGCUGAAAACUGGCAGGGAGUUAAUGGAGGAGCGGUGAGGUCUCUAUUACAGCGCCACUGUGUUUCCAAAUGGCCAUGACGGUUGGAAGUCUGUUCUCUGUGUGUCAGAACCUGCUGUCCAUGUGAACCUUCCAAUCUGAACAAAUAAAGGCAAAACGGAGAUUCCACAGGGAAGCACGGGUCUCUAGGAAGAGGGAAACAGAAGCAAGUCUAAAAGAGUUGAAGGGAAGGUGACCAAGGUGAAAAAAGAAUGAUUCAAGGUUUUCACUAGGAAAACAAAAAUGCACAAUAUGGGAAGUGCUAGUAACAAUGUCCAUGGCUUGGGCACAGACAGGCAAUUAGCACAAAGAUGUCUAUAAACCCUUUUGUUCUGAAGCUCCAGUUGUCGACAGUGGAGGAUUGUGUGAGUCCCCACUCACUAAGGUUAACAUGCUCAGGGGCCAUGGAUCUGACCAAGGGCGACAAUUGUCUCCAGCUCUUCAGGUGUAGUGUGUAAUUCAGGGAGUGAUAGGAAGAAUAAGCCAUUACGAUUUUUUCUCCCUCACCUCCGAUCUUUUUAUAAUUCUAAAGAGAUAAUCACAGUAUGUUAAAGACUUGGAUUGGCUAGGUUUGAAACCUGGACCACUGUCAUGCGGACAGUAAGUCACAUCUACACAUAGUCCUGUAAAUGCUGGAAUUCCCAUUGACAGUAGGGACCCCUUUAAAAUCAGUACUUAAUGACACUAACUGUACCCCAAGACUCAGGCUUUGCUGCUUUCUUUCUGAAGCGUUCUUAAUUCCAAUAAAGUACAGCACGUGGACACAUCUCCAUUAAAUCUGAAUGACCACCUCUUCAUAUCUCUCACUGUCUUGGGUUUCUGAUUGCUUAUUUGACUCAUUUAUUUUUGUUUCUCUCCCUUUCUACCUCUGAGCAGUUAAAAAGGUCUUCUUGCCCUCGAUUCCCUAGCACUUACUGUACACUUUAUUUGAAAGAAUGAAGGGUUAAGUGAGAGAGCAGAUGGGAUAGCUAAUUACUUAAUUAAUCUCUCUGGAGAUCUGGCAACUACGAGACUGUUCACAUCUACUGUGUUCAUUGGAGAAUUUUUUCUAGAACCUCUAAGCGCAAGGAAGUACGGUAAAUCUAAGCUUAACCCUAAAGAAUGGGAUAGACUUAAAACCAUAGUACAAUAUCAAUACAUAUUACUUAAAAUAAAUAAUUCAAAAUUGUUUAAAAAUAAGCAAACUUUUUUAUUUAAUCCUUUUUGAAACUACACAGUGGUACAUUAUUGUAUCUAUCAUCUUGCAGGUGAGAAAAGUAGGUCGUACAAGGGUUGAUUCACCAGGAACUGUGACAAUUUGUAUAGCAGAGCAAGAACUGCCUCUCUAAGUCGUCUUAGUCACACGUUUCUCAGUGAAUUAGUUUCUCAGUAAUUAGGCCUCAAGUAGCAGGCGUUUCUUAGAACUUAGAAUGCAGGAAUAGCAGGUAUCUAUUCCCAACCCCAGCCUAAUAGAUUCAUGUUAUGAUUGACGCCAAUAGGCUUAAAACUAAAUCAGGACACACUGGUAUUGUUGUCCCACCUACUUAUCAACAGGGACACAGGCUAUUCCGUCUACAAUGAAUGAUUAGUCCCACUCCUCAUUUUCUUGGCACAGAGUAGACCUUGGGUCAGUACCAUACAGUGGACUAAAGAAACAUUCACUUUAAGUUUCAGUGCUGGCAGUGGAAGGGAUAGGAGCACCACUUGUGUGCAGACUCCAAAAGGAAUCCCAGAUGCGGUAGCACAAUAAUACCUAAAAGUUCCAGCCAUGUAUGGACAAGGAUGGAAAAGCAUUCAACAAACAUCUCAGAAUUGCCUUCUGUCAUGUUAUCACUUGUCAUUUAUACAGAGGAGAUGUUCUAUGCAUACCUAGCAGGCAAAACAGAUGAGCUUUAAUGGAGCAGGAAUACAGAUACCAGCACUUCCUCUGCACCGGAAUAGAGACAGAUGACCAUUUGGACACCCUUUAAGAAGAAAUCUUAUAUAGGGCAAAAUUAUACAUAGUUCAUUUUGCGUAAUGCCCCUCUCUGUUUCUGUCUGUGGAGGUAUACAUGCCUAGAUUAGAGUAAAUGAUGCCUCUUUCUGUAUCUCAAACUUUUCAAACUUUAGAAAGACUAUUUCAUAUGUUCUCAAAAGCAAAACUGUUUCUUAGGAAAGUCUGAGAAUUUCCUUCCAUGGGUCAUGAGCACCAAUGGUAGCUGGUCUCUCUAAGACAAAGCUGAUAAGUAGCAACUGUGGUUUGAAUGAGACAUCCCCAUAGGUUCGGGUAUUUAAAUACUUGGUCAUCAGUUGGUGAUGCUGUUUGGGCAAGGAAGUGUGGUCGUGCUGAAGGCCGUGGUGACAGUUGUUGAUGGUCUUGUCCCUCUCCUAAUUCACUCUCUGUUGAGUUUUUCAGAUGAGGAUGCUUCCUAAAGCCUCUCCUGCUGAGAUAGAUUUUUUUGUGAAAACAUACAUUUAAAAGAAAUCCUUCUUUAGGUUGCUCCAGGUCAUGUGUUUUAUCACAGUAACAAGUAACUAAUAUUUCACUCAACCAUUAUUACUCAACUUUGGACUUUCUGUCCAUUUUGAUCUUGGAAUGAAGGUGACUUCCACUCAGUCUUCAGUGAAACACUUCUCAUUCACAAGUACUACACACAGAUUUAAGAGCAUUGUAGGAAAUACUAUUUCUAAUUUUGUGUGAAGUUUUCUGUGGAGAAAUGGGAGUAACGUUGGCUCAACACAUAUGAGGCACACGCGCACACACACACACACACACACACACACACACACACACAAAGAACAAAUUCAUGACUUCACCAAAUUUAUCUGGUCAUGAUAAUUAGUGUAUUGAGUCUCCUGGCAGAGAAUGGCUGAGGAGUUACUUAUAGGAGGGUGAGUAGUUCCCAUUAUAUCUAUACCACUGAGAAAAAAAGUACUCAUACAAACAUUGUUGACAAUUCUGGCUUGCCACAUAGAUGGAAUGUUCUUUCAGUCUUCAUUCUAUAAACUCCAUUACCUUUUAUGACCAUAGGACCAUGAACAACUUGUAAAGAAUUACAUGCUGCUGGGAGGAAACAUUUUGGGGAUACUUAGGGAAUAUUUUGCAAAAUAUGUAGGUUAGGCAUCCCUAAAGCUUGAAAUGACUACUCUGUGUACAUAACAGGACAAUAUACUAGAGAGAGGAGGAUGUCAACAUGUACUUUUAGAGCCUCUCUUGCAAAUAAGCGCAGCUGUUGAUAAAGAUGGUAUACGUUUUAUGUUCAGAGGACAAUGUUCUUCAACAUCUGUAAGCUCAGGUUUUAAAAUAUUUUGGAAAUAGAUUUUUUAAUUUUGCUAAUAUUCUUCUCCUUCUCUCUGAAUCUCAUUUUCAUGCUCUGCACACCUAAACCUGUGUCCGGUGCAGCAUUUCCCAACUGUUUGGCUCUUACUUGCCUGGAUAGGUGAUCACUUUGUAAACCAGUGACUUCAGUGUUCUUCCUCACUGUUCUAUCCCCUUCACCUGGACCAGUGAGGGCCUGGCACACAAUAGGUGCUGAAUAAAUAUUUGUUGAAUGGAUGAAACAACUUGAGAACAACUUAGGGGAGAAUGUUCUGCUCUAAGUAGUGAGGCCAGAGAAACAACUGGUAAGGCAAACAAGACAAGGAAUCAGUCACAUUUGGAAGUAAGAACUGAAUCCUCACAGAGAGCACCCAGGGGAGCAAUGAGAAUAUCAUUCAGAGCUUGACCACCAUGACUUGCUGUCCAACUCAUUUCCAGCCAAUUCAACCAAAUGACUUUAUUUGCAAGAACGCCUUUUAUGUCUGGACUUGGGGCAUAUAUUAUUUCACUCUGUUUCCUGGGAGAUAAUGUUUGCCUCUGACACAAUGACAAUGAAAGGAAAUGUUUUACUAUUAAUCUUAAAAAAACCAUGCAAGGUGGCAGGACGUAAACACAGCAAAGGAAACCUCAUUUUAUUUUAUCAACUCCCUCCUCCACAAGUCAGUUUUAUGCCCCACCACCACCCAAGGCUCUAAUUCGAUUACGAAUUGGACAAUUAAAUUAGGAAAUAAAUUCCCGUAUUUGAAACUAUGAUUGCCUUAAUCAGAUUCCUAGUUCAAAUAUUGCCCAGCAAACUUUAGACUUUCUUGUGGUGAUCUUAAUCAUCAUACCCUUUAAUUCUGAAAAGUUACUGCUUCCUUUCCUACCAAGUACAUGGUAUGGUUCAUUUCCCUUGACAUUUUUUUAAAAUUAGUAAUUAAAAUUUUUUUAAAUUAGUCUUAAAAAGGAGAAUUUAGGCAAUUGAAGAAUGGGUUAAACAGCAACCUGAAAUGAGUGGAAAUUAGGAAAGAUCACCGUGGCCAUGUUUUGGUCAAUAUUAUCUUCCAUCAUUUGUGACACACACACAGAGGGAUGCCAAACCUACAUAUUUUGCAAAAACUUCCCUAAAUUUAUACUAAUCUCAUGUUACCUUCCUAUUUGCCAUCCGUGCUGUCCUGGUGCAUUCCUAGCUACUUUGAAAUGUAAGCCUUUAGCUUUCUUAGAUUUAUCCUAAGCAACAGCAGUUGGAAAAUGAAACACUUGUAUUUUCCCUAGCAUAUGUUAAAGUAAACACAGAAUAUUAAAAUGAAUAUCUGUGUACAAUAAUCUCUCCAACACUGGAAUUCCUACUGGAAUGAGGGCCACAUGUUGGGCAAUACUACUCAGUUCUUCUCUUACAAAACAAAUGGCAUAACGUCUCCUGUCAAUAUGUCUAUGGAAAAUAAUAUUGUCGGGAAGUGUCUUAAGAUGAAUUUGCAUCAGGUCCAGAGUGUUUGAAGAUGGUUUUCAUUCUGUAGUAACUUCAGCAAAACAAACAAUUCUGAAACAGGUUCAUCCAUUUAUCUUGGCAGAGAACAGAGGAAGAACUCCCCUAGGCCUCAGACAGGGAAGCCAUUGAAGAAACUGGCGUCAGCAGGUCUUUCUUCAGUAUACCAAUAGAAAUGCCCACCCAAAAAAAAGGUCUGGAAUCAAAACCAAUAACAGACCCAAUGCCACUCACUCUUCCCCUGAACAUGGAAGUGAAAAGGAUAGGGUGUUAUUUAGCAUCUACAAUAAGUCUUCACGCCUCUGUGAUUUUUCAUUUGGAAGAGUGUUAGGAGAAUAGUAAAUUAAUUUCUCCUCAAGAGUUUCAGUCUCUUGUGAGAACUGACACUCCUAACUCAACUUCUUCAGAAAGCCAUAAAAAUGCAUCAGUUCUAAACAGAGGGAAGAAAGUUAAUAUUUAAAGAACCAGUUAUGAACCAAUUAGCCUUGGUUUAACAAGAGCUAACAUUUACUGAGUACCUAAAGUAUAUCAAGAACUAUGCUAUGCAAUGUUCCAGCCAAAUCUCACCUGUUAUAAUCAUCACAAUGCCCCAAUAGGGAGGUUAUGUUAUUGCUGCCUUUUUACAGAUGAAAGAACAUUGAAGAAUUCCAGACACUAUAGAAACUCACUGUUUGCUGCUUCCAGACCAGAAUCUUUUGAUCACCACAUAUAUACAAACCUUCAGUCAGUCCUGUCAUAGCAUCUGCUUUUUCAGAUUCCCGAAUUAAUUCUUCCUGGUUUUAGUAGACAUUAUCCUAUUUGUUACUUCACUAAGAAGCAGAACACUUGACAGAGAAUUAAACAAAUGCAAAGUUCUAAGACUUGAAAAUUAAAACAUGAUUUCUAGCCUCUCCAAGAGGUAAUAAUUAUGCUAUAUUUAUUGUAUGCCAAUCAGUUUAUAUAAAUUACCAAAUAUAAUUAAAAAAUAUUCACAUCUGUGUUUAUGUGAGAGGGGGGAGAGAGAGACAGAGAGACAGAGACAGACAGAAACAAACAAAGGCAGACAGAGAGGUCCCAUGGAGUUUAGGUUACAGGUAGCUGUGAGUCUUCUCCCCUCCACCUGCAUAUGGCUUCUGAACAUUGACUUCUAGUUCUUUGUAAGAACAUCAAACACACUCACCGGCCAAGCCAUUACUCUGACCCCUCAAAAUUAUUGAACAAAAUAAUUUACGUAGUUCCAAUUGUCAGAUGGAGAAAUUGAAACUCAAAAAAUAAGGAAUUAGACUAAGGCUGUACAGGAGUAAUAUAGUUUGGCAUGAAUAUCUGACUUAAAGGCCCUGUCAUUGUAACUAAUAUGCUAGACUAAAUUGCCUCACACAUAUAAAUAAUCAUCUUAAAACUACUUGUAUGGGCAUGUAUGAUAGAUACCUUGGCUGAAUGCAAGGGACAAGGUAGAUCAAUUAUUCAAAAAUUGUCAUCCUGACUAGCCAGCAUCAGGACUAUCCGAGAACAUAUUUGUGAUGUAAACUAAACUCCUGGCCCACCUUAUUUCUACUGAAAUUGAAGACUGCAUGGUGGACAGCUUCUCCAAACAAGAUUUGCUGAGAGCAAAGGUACUGAUUCAUAGUUAAUAGCUAGGUACUUACCAGUGGGUUGCUUCAACAUCUCUUAAGCCUAGAGACAUGUUAGUAUCCCUUGUGAUUUUUACAUAAAUAAAGAAGUCUGGAUUUACUCUUUUGAUUUUAGUUCAGUAGUUCUGGAUGUAGCCUGAACAUACUUGUACACAUUAAAGGACAUCAGUUUCUAAUGUAUCGACAUGGUUGAAAACUAGUGGUUAUAAUGAAUCCGACUAAGAAAUAAAUUCUGUAAAGACAAUUAAAUCUGUCUAACACAAAGAGAGAAUAAACCUCUAUGGAUAUGUGUGCCAUAUUUCUGGAGUAUGUUUUUAAUUUUAGGAAAAUAAACAAUGAAGUUAUUGCCUGUAAAAAGUGCUGUAUAUUUAAUUUCUGGUGCAUUUAAGGACACAAAAUAAGCACAAAGAACUUUCAAGAGCUCAUAUUAUUUUGUUGAACUAAUUUAUCUCUUAAAUUUAUAUUUUAGAGCCUUUACACACAAGGACACUGUGUUUAUCUCAAUUAAUAAUUAACAACUGCUGUUAUGAUGACAUAUUCUUUUUGGUCUCAUGAAUCAUUAGUUUCUCCCAAAAUAAAAAACAAGUGUCUGUGUUUUCAUUAUCAAACGUUCCAAUAUCUGAUUUUAGACUUGGAAUGAAUGAAGGGAUUGGGAAACCAGUAUUAACAAGUUGCUUUUCCUAAGUAAAUUACAGAAAGUUUGGCAUUAAUGAUUAUCUUCUUUUCAGCUACAAGACCUAUAUGGGCCUCUUAUUUUCUGUAAUGAAAUCAUGAGAUUCUGGAGCAAUUGUUUCCUUAUAUCAAAAUGGCACCAUGUAAUUCAAAUCAAUACCCUUCAUACUGUCUGCAAAAUGGAAACACAUGAAUGAACCAAGAAAAUGUGUGAGAUCCAUAGGACAAAUAUGAUUUAGUCACACAGAGGAGUGAUAUACUAAUUAAAGCUACAAUGUAGAGGAGCUAAGAACAUAUUGAUAUGGGAAGAAAUGGGGUGUCUUUGAGAGUGGUGAAGUUUUUGUCUCUCUUCUAAGUUGAAAUUUCAACUAGAGAGUUUGGAUGUUGGAAAUACAUGACCUCUUCCUCUGUGACAGGAGUUCUAUGUUUUUUUCCCACUAAAUCCAAGGAAGGAAAUUCACAGUACAUAGAAGAGUCAGUUUUAGAAAGAAAUUUUCUGGUAAGGAGCUUAGAGAAAGAAAGAAUGCAGUUCCUUAAUCAGAGGAGUGGAUUCCAGGAAACAAGGUAUCACUGAAAUGCCAGUCCAUGGAUUUUAAUAGAACUUACAAAAGAGACUGUGGUUAGGGAGAAAGACAUAAUGAGUCUAAUUGGAAUACCCAGGAGAUGUCCAGGUACUUCUUUAUUUGUUUCAUAUUUUCACACCUAGGUUCCAGGCAAAGAUGUUCAAUUAAAAAGCAAAACCAAAAAUGGACCAGAAACCAGAACUCCCUCUGGCAUUCUUGGCUUCCAGGACUGAGGCAGGACAAUGUUUUAGAUAAAUAGAGAUUUAGCUUAAGCUUUAUUGACACCACACAGAUUUUAAGCAAAAGGAGAAAGUUAGAGACUAUUAGUAAUGCUUUAAAAAUGAAGCAGGGAAAUAAUGCAAUAUAUAUUGUAGUGAUGGUGGUUAUUUUGGGCUAAAAGUUUCAGGAAUGGCCUUGUGACAAGGCAUUGAGCAAGUAUCUGAAGGAAUGAGUCUGUGAGAUAGAACAGUGUCCUGCCUUCAAUUCCAUGAAAAAGCAACAGCAUAAUCCUUAAAGCACUGAAUAUGUUACCUUAGAUAGCAAAGGAAUGUUUUGGAUAUGCCUAAAGUUUUUGGUCUUAAAUGUGGAGAUUUUUCAUUUGAGAGCAUUGUAACCUUGUGGUUCAUUAGAACCAAUGCAUCUUCUCCAGUGAGGAACAGAGAGAGGUAUAUAAAAGAGAGGUCAGACAGAUGCAGUUUUAUACUUUGAAGGUAGAGGAACGUUCCCACAAGCCAAUGUAUGUGGGUGGCCUUCUGAAGUUGGAAAAACAAGGAAACGGAUUCUUUCCUAGAUCCUCCUGGAUAAAAAAGAAGGAAAAAAGAAAGUAAAAGAAAAGAAAAAACACAGCCUUCUUAACACCUUGACUUCUGCCCUGUGAGAUCAGAGAUUGACUUUUGACCUACAAAACUAUAAGAUAAUAAAUCUGUGUUUCCUUAACCACUAAGUUCAUGGCAAUUUGUUACAAUAGCAACUGAAGACUAACACAAGAAAGAAACUCUAAGUUCUUCAAAGAACAGUGGGUCAGUCAUGAAAUCUGGAGAAGAAUAGAGAAAAUGGGGUUAGAGUGGAAGGGUGUGGGUGAGAGACAGUGGAGGACUUGUCAGUCAGAGCAACAACAUUGGUUUCUACUCUGAGAUGGGAUGUCAGUGAGGAUUACUGAGACGAGCAAGUUAUCAUCGGCCAUACAUCUAAAGGGAUUCCACCCCUCCUUUGUUGGAGCAAAAGGACAAAAGCCUAGAAGUGAAUGAAGAGGAUCUUUAAAUGACCUACAAGAAAGAAAGUGUUUGAUAGAAUAUAGGAAUGGUCAUGGAGAUAAGUUAUGGAAUAAAUCUUUUGUCUAAAGGAUUAUCUAUGUACGGAGUGAGAAAUAUUUACACAUGUUGUUUUAGGCAAAUAGUAACUUGGGUUUGAUAACUGAGAAGGGGAAGACUGUGAGAUAACAGAUAUGGGAUAAGGAGACCAGAAACUGUUUCAAACAUGUUAAGUUUGAGAUUCACGUUGAAGAGUAAGGUUAAGCUGUGGGAUGCAUGACUGGAGAUCAAGAUAGUUUUGUACAAUGGAAAUUAAGUCUGGGGACUGUUAGGGGAGUAUUGAUAAUAGACAACAGAGGAAAUGAUAAAGCCAGGAAGGGGAAAGAAGGAAAACUAUAUAUUGACCUCUAGGCUCUGAGUGACUCUAACAUUCAAAGAUGAAGAAAAUGAAGAGAAUUAGAGAAUGAACCUGUGGAGGAGUGACCAACAAGGUAGGGGAGGAAAGACAAACAAAACCAAAAGAGGCAGAAAAAUGAAGAAGAUAUAUGUCCUGGGAAGCAAGGCAAGCCUGUGUCUCACAGUCUACUACCAGAUGGGGCUUCUGAUGGGAGAAGAUGAGUUUGACAACUGGUCAAUGAUCUGGGUUCAUGCUCCAGAGAAGAGCAGUCUGAGAAGAGUAGGGCAGAGGAGAUUAAGACUGCACUUGGUUGAACAGAGUUAGGGUUCUGAGGUCUGCCUCAAGAGUGUGAGGUCUUUAAGGUGGUCAAUUCCCACCACUGCCAAUAAACAAACAACCAAGCUGGAGGGAAAGCAAUCCAUUGGCACUAACAAAUAUCUUAUGCAUCACCUUCUUGAGGAGAUUUGUUUUAAGCAGAGACACAGUGGUGGGAAACAUCAGAAAGACUGCACAUUUUCCUGAAUUUUCUGGGAACAUGUGGUCGCAGACUCUGAGCAAUCGUCCUGGUGAGAAACCUGGGUAUGCUGCCCUCAGGAACGUUGGCUUUGCUCUUAGUUUUACAACUCAUUGUGCCAGUUAGAGUUACCAAAACAAUAUAUUUGAAAUUGCCAAUAUAUAGUCCUAAACUCCUUUCCACAAAUAAGCAAGCUUUGUUCUGUGCGGUAAUGCUGCCCGAGAAUCAGUGGAACUGUAGACAAGUGAGUUCAGUAGAACCCUUCGCUAGACUUAGUAAAGUCUACGAAUGUGGCUUUUUUUUUCUUUCAUGAUGAAAGAUUUGUAGGUUUUCCUAUUUAAAAGAAAGCAGUGACUAUUAGUGAGACAUUUAUUCUUGCAUGAAGGAUAUAUGUUCUGGAGUUCCUUUUCUUCAAUGUGUGUUCCUACCCUUUGACAAGCUGUCAGAAAGGACACACUGCAUAUGCUGCAAUGGCUUGGAAGUAUCUUUUGAAAUAACUAAAUAGCACUGUUGGCUUGUCCCCAC
rnacentral:sRNA from 1 species